AUGAAAGAGGAAUGGAAGGGAAUGGUUCAGCAUUCAAGGGUUUAUUUUCUCUGGAUGAGAAAGUAGAAGAAUGACUGCUUAACUCAAGUAUGCCUGGAGUUUCUAGGGAUUACCAGCUUCACGUAGAAUUCAAGAACAAAUUCAAGACUCGUUGAACUUAGAUCAAGAAAAUGAUGAUGAAACUACCCUCAGUAACCAAAAACUGGAAUGGAUCAGCCUUUGCGUGUGCCAGUUAAUGCAUCUGUCAUGCUGUGGCCAGAGAUUCUACAGGCAUAAUACUGAAGAUGAACACUACUGUGGAAAUGGCAGAACGACUGACUACUGACUGCACUGACCUAACUGUGGCUAACAUGGGCAGAAGAAAUGCAACAACUUCCCUCACUUAAAAUGCUCCAGAUGAUGGAUCAUGAAGAACAGCAGUUAUGAUAAUCAUUCUCACAAGAACUCAGCAGAAGGUCCUGGUACAAUGUCAGCUUAGGCUUGUGUAAGAGCAAUAUGACAGAAGGCUUAGAGCAAACACCUCCUGGUUUGAAAGUAUGAGAUGCCAAAGUUCCACUUCUGGCUUGGCUGCAAGCGUCCUACGUGACCUUGGCACACAGUAAAUUAUCACUGAAUUAUCCCUGAUGCUGAAUGUAAGUGGAAUUCAAUCAAGUUCCAACUUUAAACAACAGGCUUGAGGAGACUUCUUAAAUGUA